ACACCAGGCCCACAGCUCACUCGCUCCCUCCUGCAAGACUCCACAGAGAUCACAGGAGGCUCCUGGCUGACCAGCCCUCGGCUGCACUUGGAGAGGAGAACACAGUGAGCAGCACUGCCUGUGCAUCUGAAAUCCGUUUCAGGGUUCUCUCUUUAGCUGUUUACCUGUUUCGUGGGAUUUGUGAGGUUGCCAGGGCCGGCAGCUGGGUGGAGGCCUUGGUACCUUUGGAGCAGACCUGACCCAUUCAGAGGUGACUCCUUUAUCGGCCUCAGACCUGAGUUUCUUAAGCUGGACCAGCUACAACAAAAUAGCCGAGACCACGGAAUUUAUAAAGGAUCGGAGCUUGUUGGGUUCAACAUGCUGGAGGCUGGGAAGCUGGAGCUCAAGGCACCUGUACCUGCGUGGCAUCGAUGAGGGUCUUCUUGCUCUAUCAUGACACGGCGAGGGCAUCACGUGGAAAAGGGCCAAGUGUGCCAGUUCAGCUGUCCCUACCUCUCUUCUGUAUCGAUGCCACUGAUGUCACACGGAGGUCUCACCCUGGUGGCCUUGUGUAAUCCAAAUUCCCUCCCUCAGGCCCCCCUCCAGAACUAGUAACGUCGGUAUUUGAAGAUUAACUUCCAGUUCAGGAGCUGCAUUCAAACCGUAGCUUUUGCUUCAGUGACAGACGGAGCUCUCACCAGAAACCAGGAGCCAGAAAUUGGUGAAGAUCACAGAGAAGGGGGCUUUUCUUCAGGAAAGCAUUUGAAGCUCUCAAGACCUUUUGCAAACUUAAAAAGAAUUACUUUCAGUCUGUUAUGUGGGGAGUCUGAGAACUAUUAAUCAGAAAAUCAUCAGAGUAAUCCAAGCAAACUGAUUGAUUUGGGUGAGAAAUGAAUUCAUGCUACUUCCCCAAAGGCCAACAAGCCCUUAUGAGAUUAAGAUUUAAGUAACAACCACAGGCACCUUAGAAAAACCUUUUUUUUUUUUGAGGAAAAAUAGAGUUUCUUUGUAAGGA